UCUGCUAUCAUUUUCAAGUUUACUAUCCAUGGUGGUCACAGAGUUUAUUAAAUAGAGAGGGUCUGUAUACUAUAUCAAUGACCACCAUGGAUCGAUUAGAAAACUUAGAAUUGAAAGUAAAUACACUUUAUUUAUAUAGUGAAUGUUCAUAAUAUACAGAUAAGCGCUAAAAUUAUUCAUGUGCACUUUUGAUACCUUUUCUGAAAUUCUCCAGUCAUUAAAUCUUAAAUUACAAAAUUCAUUGAUUACAAAAAAAAGAAGAUGUGGUAUGAUUGCCAUGUUGACAACUCUCCACAAGAGACCAAAAUGACACAGAAAUUAACAACUAUAGGUUAUCGUACGGCCUUCAACAACGAGCAAAGACCAUACCGCAUACUCAGCUUUAAAAGGCACCGAAAUGAAAAUGUAAAACAAUUCAAACGAGAAAACUAGCGGCCUUAUUUAUGUACAAACAAUGAACGAAAAACAAAUAUGUAACGCAUAAACAAACGACAACCACUGAAGUACAGGCUCCUUACUUAAAUGUUCAUAACAUACUAAAUGUAUAUUCAUAUUGAUAUUGAUAGAAAACCACACAUUGGGAAUUUUGGAAAUAAAGGAGGAGGGAUUAAAAAAAAAUUUUCCUGUCC
rnacentral:lncRNA from 1 species